GACAGAAGCCAGCCCACCGUGCGACACUUUGUGCCUGGGAGCUGCCAGCCCUCUGCUCUUGCGGACUAGAAGGGGCUGGAAACCGACAGAGGCUGUGAGGCCACCACCUGGGAGCCCCAGCUGCUGCUUCCCCACAGGAACAAACACCACAGAGCAGAUCCGUUUUAUCAAGAGCGUUUUAGUAGCUAAAUAAUGGCACCGUGUGUUCCUAAGGCAAUAUAAAGGGCAGCAUGCAAGAUGUACUGCCCACUGAGGUAAAUCACACUCUCCCUGCCUCCUUACUCUGUGAAGGGAGACAGUGUAAAAAACCAUCUUGGUUACAACAACCUUCCCUGGUAGGCCUCCAGUGAGCCUUGAGGUCCACCCCCCCCAAGUUGUCCGAGCUGUUGACCACAGCCUGGGGCACACUGCCCACAGCACUACUGGCCCAGGGCCUUGUCCAGGUUGCUCUUGAUGGUGUCCAGGAAGUCAGAAGUGUUCAGGAAGUG